CGCUGGUGGAGCUAGUUUGUUGCACUGAACAUGUGUCGUGCGUGUGCGUGAACGAUAACAGUUGGAGCCCAUCAGGGAUUGAACCCAGAACCUUUUGCACCCAAGCCAAGAAACAGACCCCUGACCAACAAGCUACAUAUUGUGAAUGGCAGUGCUCUCAGAUGCUUGGUUAUUUUGGUCCUGUGUAGAAAGAAUCUGACUGGACGUUGUUACUGGAAGGUGGAGUAGAGAGGGUUGAAGUUGCAGUCACGUACGAGAAUGAAGAACAUCAGUGUAGAUUUGAAAUGAAUGAUAAAAUAAAGGUGAAACACACUGUACUGUAAAAAUGACUUAUUAUACACACGUGCAAUGCAGGCUGUAAUAUAGAUAGCAGAUAAUUUAUCUGAAUUUCAGGAGCGGGACCACUUCUCCAAACAUGCCCCUUCCGGGUCUUAUCUAUAUUUGACCCCCCAGUUCAUUUUUGUUGCCCACCCUCCCUGCCCUUUUUUCAAUUCUUUCACUUCUUCACUACUUGUUAGGGUACCUGGGUCUGGUGACCCAGUGGUUUUGAUUUUGUUUGUGC
ensembl:lncRNA